CGCCUCUAGCAGAGAGGUCACCUCUGGUUUCUUUCUUAGAAGGGCACUAAUGCCACUGAGGGGGCUCCACGCUUAUGACCUACUCACCUCCCAGAGGCCCCUCUCCUGAUAUUGUCACACUGGGGACUGGGCUUCAAUGCGUGGAUUUGGGGGGACACUCACUUUCAGUCCGUGGACUAUCUUGUAUCUUUCACGCACCUGUUGUGUGUCCCCUUCUCAGUCUUCUCAUGCUUUAGCUCAAGUCUUCCUUGUCCUGGUCUGCGUGGCCUCUAGAUGUUUUCUCCCUGUGCUUGUGUGUGUUUUUCUCUGAUGACACUGCACACAUCCAGAGUGUGCUGCAAGGUCUUGUGUGCGGGAUCAUACCUGUCUGUCUGUCUGUCUGUCUUCUCCUCUAAGUCCUUAGGGCCUCCGUCCCCAAUCUCUUGUGCACCCACAACAACAACAACAAUGACAACCAGUGGCAAUUAAGCUCCCCGUGGGUAGGGCUUUUUAUACUUUUCCUGUUUUAUUCACGGCUGGUCUCCAGGACCUAGAACAGUGCACGACCUACCAUUGGUGUCGAAGAAAUAGGGUAUGAAUGAAUCCACUCAUACCUAUUUCCAUCCAUCUGACAAGUGCGUCUUCCCCAGCUCCUGUCCCUGUCUCCUGAUUUUUCCUCUUUCCCUCCCUAUCAGGUGUCACACACGAAUACAAACCACUCUGAUAGCACCUUCCGGAUAAUAGUGGAGAAGAAUGCAUUGGCCACGCCUGUGGCUGCAUCCCUUGGGCUGGGACACAUUAAUCAGCUCUGGCAAAGCUACCCCGACUGGAAGUCACAAAGGGGGUUGCUGCUUGGUUGUCCUGUCCUGUAGAGUAUGUUGGGAUUGUUUCCAGGCCAUAUUGGUGAAUGAAAUAGAUGUGUGUUGGGUUCAUACCCUGCACCCCCCUCAGUCUUCAACCUCUGGUGUUCCUUCCAGAUGAUGAGACUCAGGGACCGCCGUUCAACUCCAUUAUCCUCGUAAUUGCUGCUUUGCAAAGUUCUCCAGCAUCUGAGAUGUUGCGCCUACAGUGCAUUCCUUCCCUUCCACGCUGUCUGUCCCAGUGCGCCGGCGGUCAAAGUUUUAACACUGCGCCGUGACAUCCCGCCAAGGGCUUUCAGUACCCCACCUGCCACCAGUGUGGUAGAUGGAUGCCGUGCGCUCCAGGGCUGAGUUCUCCCAUCUGAAUUGCUACUUGUAGACAAUCUGAUGGACUGGGCGCCUUGGGAGCGUAAGGAAGAUGCCAAGGAUAAUUCUUCAGCCUUUGUUCUGAUGAAGAGCACAGGGCGCGUGUGUAUUCCCACCGCAUCGAUUUGAAAACACUUGCGUGUGUUUGCAGAGGAGGGGACUUGCCAGUUGCAAUGGUGGUGGGCCUCACGGGCGCAGGCACGCCUGGCGGGGACCUAGGGACCAGCAGGGGAUUUCCAUCACCCAGAAGAGAGAGGUACCUUAGGCCAAGAGUGAACUUGUUUUAAAUGACAGGAGUGGCUAAAGGCUCAGGGAAAUGAAGAGAAAGAAAGACAAGAUUCGAAGAAUCUGGUAAAUAAAUAGUUAGCCUUUGUGUGUCCUAGGAA